GUUAGUUUUUAUUCAUCUCAUGAGACAGAUGAGUAAACUGAGGACUUAGGAUGCUAACUGACUUGCCAAAGGUCACUCAGUCACCAGAGGAUGGAUCCAGGAUUUCACUCUGACUGCAGUUACACUGUGGACAGACUCAGCUCACCACACUGGAUGACUUCAUCAGGGUCAAGGACUAAAGGACUGUCCUUCAAAUUCAUAAACAAGGACGACUGCUGACCGGGGCAGACUAUUAGACUUCUGGAUUUCUUGAAUUCUUUCGUGACAGAAGAAGAAUAAAUCAAAGAAGAACUCACCUUGGUAUGUAUGCACAUCCUGUUGGGGAUGCUCUAGAUUUACCCAUGGAAUCCUCUUCAGAGUGCUUUUUUU
rnacentral:lncRNA from 1 species